rnacentral:rRNA from 1 species
CGUGUAGGCGGCUCAGUAAGUCCGCUCUGAAAGCCCGGGGCUCAACCCCGGGAGGCGGGUGGAUACUGCUGAGCUUGAGUCCGGAAGAGGCGAGUGGAAUUCCCGGUGUAGCGGUGAAAUGCGCAGAUAUCGGGAGGAACACCAAUGGCGAAGGCAGCUCGCUGGGACGUGACUGACGCUGAGACGCGAAAGCGUGGGGAGCAAACA